UACGUAGGGGCAAGCGUUGUCCGGAUUUAUUGGGCGUAAAGAGCGUGUAGGCGGCCAGACAGGUCCGUUGUGAAAACUCGAGGCUCAACCUCGAGACGUCGACGGAAACCGUCUGGCUAGAGUCCGGAAGAGGAGUGUGGGAAUUCCUGGUGUAGAGGUGAAAUUCGUAGAUAUUGGGAAGAACACCGAUGGCGAAGGCAGCCAUCUGGACCGACACUGACGCUGA
rnacentral:rRNA from 1 species